UACGGAGGGUGCAAGCGUUGUCCGGAUUUAUUGGGUUUAAAGGGUGCGUAGGCGGUUCCUUAAGUCCGGGGUGAAAGCCCACUGCUCAACAGUGGAACUGCCCUGGAAACUGGAGAACUUGAGUACAGACGAGGGCGGCGGAAUGGAUGGUGUAGCGGUGAAAUGCAUAGAUACCAUCCAGAACCCCGAUUGCGAAGGCAGCUGCCUAGACUGUAACUGACGCUGAGGCACGAAAGCGUGGGGAGCGAACAGG
rnacentral:rRNA from 1 species